rnacentral:rRNA from 1 species
UACGAGGGGGGCGAGCGUUGUUCGGAAUUAUUGGGCGUAAAGGGUGCGUAGGCGGUUUGGUAAGUCUUGUGUGAAAUCUUCGGGCUUAACUCGAAGUCUGCACUGGAAACUGCCGGGCUUGAGUGUGGGAGAGGUGAGUGGAAUUCUUGGUGUAGCAGUGAAAUGCGUAGAUAUCAAGAGGAACACCAGUGGCGAAGGCGAGUCCCUGGACAACUUCUGACGCUGAGGCACGAAAGCUAGGGGAGCAAACAGG